AGCUCAGAAGGCAUGUGGGUUACUCCCCAGAGAUGGAGAAGCAGAGUGGGUAGGGGCUUGAGAUACGAGGCACAGGAAAAGUAAAGGGCGACACCUUCUCGAAAAACAGGUUUAUGUGGUAAAGAACAAGGCCCCUCCUCCCUUUCCCCAACUCUUGUUCCCCGAAUGCUGACAGCCAGGCUUGUACCCCGCCCCAGGCAGGAGACUGGAGGGUUGCCAUCUGGGGAGGUGAACACAAGAAAAAUGGGUACUUAUUAUGUUUAAGUCCCCCAGAGAAACAGCUCGUCCUCAUCCAAUUAGUCAACAAGCACC